AAAGCUGCAAGACGAUAUUUAAGAAAUUAAACUUCUACAACUUGAAAAAGAAUCAGUUAUUGUUUCCCAUGUAACAAAGGGUUGUUAUCCUGAAGGUGUUAGAGAAUCUGAUUUGAUAAAAUCAUGCUGGCACAAGCUGAAGGAUGUUCGAGGUGUUUUAAAAGCUAAGCAUUUUGAUGUUUACUGGUUAGUAUGUUUGCAAUAAAUAUUUUAUUAUCCUAACAUAUACUGGUUAAUAUCAAAGUAUCAGUAAUUUAAUUCAAAAAACUGAAAACAUAGUAAAUAAUUUGGAAAAAAAAAAAAAAAAAAACGCCAAUAGCAUAUGGUUAUCAAAUUUUCUGAAUAAAUAUUUUACAGCAUAUUUAUUUCGACUGUGAUGGAAAAUCUAAACGAAAAAAAAAAAAAAAAUCUCUUGUUCUAUUUAAAGAAAAACUAUAGAGGGAUUUUUCUUAAUAGACACGCAAUACGCUUUCGCAUUAUAGUAAUUAGACUUCGACUGCAAUGAAGUUAGACAGUUGAAAUAUUUAAUCUCAUAUUUCUCUUUUAAAAGUUUUCGGAGGUUAUCAUACAACAGGAAUAAUUAGCUUAAUAAUUCUUAAAUGUUAAAAAACAAGCAGUUUGCGACGUUACUUCCACUGACAAAAAUUGUGUCGAUUCCAAAUACAUUUCUUUCUUUAUAAACAUUCGAAAAUGACGUUUUUUCCUUACAUCUUAAAUGAAAAAAAAAUUAAAAAAAAAACUUACGAUUUUUUUUUUAUAGUCGUACUUAAUAGUUCAA